rnacentral:rRNA from 1 species
AGAGUUUGAUCCUGGCUCAGGAUGAACGCUAGCGGCAGGCUUAACACAUGCAAGUCGAGGGGCAGCGGGGAGGAAGCUUGCUUUCUCCGCCGGCGACCGGCGCACGGGUGAGUAACACGUAUGCAACCUGCCCCUGUCAGGGGGACAACCCGCCGAAAGGCGGGCUAAACCCGCGUACAUGCCACCGGGGCAUCCCGGAGGCAGGAAAGGCUUCGGCCGGACAGGGAUGGGCAUGCGGCGCAUUAGGCAGUAGGCGGGGUAACGGCCCACCUAACCGACGAUGCGUAGGGGUUCUGAGAGGAAGGUCCCCCACACUGGUACUGAGACACGGACCAGACUCCUACGGGAGGCAGCAGUGAGGAAUAUUGGUCAAUGGUCGGGAGACUGAACCAGCCAAGCCGCGUGAGGGAGGAAGGUACAGAGUAUCGUAAACCUCUUUUGUCAGGGAACAAAGGCGGGGACGUGUCCCCGGAUGAGUGUACCUGAAGAAAAAGCAUCGGCUAACUCCGUGCCAGCAGCCGCGGUAAUACGGAGGAUGCGAGCGUUAUCCGGAUUUAUUGGGUUUAAAGGGUGCGCAGGCGGUCUGUUAAGUCAGCGGUCAAAGCCCGGGGCUCAACCCCGGCCCGCCGUUGAAACUGGCAGUCUCGAGUUGGAGAGAAGUAUGCGGAAUGCGCGGUGUAGCGGUGAAAUGCAUAGAUAUCGCGCAGAACUCCGAUUGCGAAGGCAGCAUGCCGGCUCCACACUGACGCUGAGGCACGAAAGCGUGGGUAUCGAACAGGAUUAGAUACCCUGGUAGUCCACGCAGUAAACGAUGAAUGCUGGCUGUCCGGGGGGACUGACCCCUGGGUGGCGAAGCGAAAGCGAUAAGCAUUCCACCUGGGGAGUACGCCGGCAACGGUGAAACUCAAAGGAAUUGACGGGGGCCCGCACAAGCGGAGGAACAUGUGGUUUAAUUCGAUGAUACGCGAGGAACCUUACCCGGGCUCAAACGGGGAGUGGCGCAGGCAGAGACGCCUGUUUCCCACGGGACACUCCCCGAGGUGCUGCAUGGUUGUCGUCAGCUCGUGCCGUGAGGUGUCGGCUUAAGUGCCAUAACGAGCGCAACCCCCGCGUGCAGUUGCUAACAGUCAACGCUGAGGACUCUGCACGGACUGCCGGCGCAAGCCGCGAGGAAGGCGGGGAUGACGUCAAAUCAGCACGGCCCUUACGUCCGGGGCGACACACGUGUUACAAUGGGUGGUACAGCGGGAAGCCAGGCGGCGACGCCGAGCGGAACCCGAAAUCCACUCUCAGUUCGGAUCGGAGUCUGCAACCCGACUCCGUGAAGCUGGAUUCGCUAGUAAUCGCGCAUCAGCCAUGGCGCGGUGAAUACGUUCCCGGGCCUUGCACACACAGCCCGUCA